rnacentral:rRNA from 1 species
CGCUGGCGGCGUGCCUAAUACAUGCAAGUCGAGCGAAUGGAUUGAGAGCUUGCUCUCAAGAAGUUAGCGGCGGACGGGUGUAGUAACACGUGGGUAACCUGCCCAUAAGACUGGGAUAACUCCGGGAAACCGGGGCUAAUACCGGAUAACAUUUUGAACCGCAUGGUUCGAAAUUGAAAGGCGGCUUCGGCUGUCACUUAUGGAUGGACCCGCGUCGCAUUAGCUAGUUGGUGAGGUAACGGCUCACCAAGGCAACGAUGCGUAGCCGACCUGAGAGGGUGAUCGGCCACACUGGGACUGAGACACGGCCCAGACUCCUACGGGAGGCAGCAGUAGGGAAUCUUCCGCAAUGGACGAAAGUCUGACGGAGCAACGCCGCGUGAGUGAUGAAGGCUUUCGGGUCGUAAAACUCUGUUGUUAGGGAAGAACAAGUGCUAGUUGAAUAAGCUGGCACCUUGACGGUACCUAACCAGAAAGCCACGGCUAACUACGUGCCAGCAGCCGCGGUAAUACGUAGGUGGCAAGCGUUAUCCGGAAUUAUUGGGCGUAAAGCGCGCGCAGGUGGUUUCUUAAGUCUGAUGUGAAAGCCCACGGCUCAACCGUGGAGGGUCAUUGGAAACUGGGAGACUUGAGUGCA